rnacentral:rRNA from 1 species
CCUACGGGUGGCAGCAGUCGAGAAUCAUUCACAAUGGGGGAAACCCUGAUGGUGCGACGCCGCGUGGGGGAAUGAAGGUCUUCGGAUUGUAAACCCCUGUCAUGUGGGAGCAAAUUAAAAAGAUAGUACCACAAGAGGAAGAGACGGCUAACUCUGUGCCAGCAGCCGCGGUAAUACAGAGGUCUCAAGCGUUGUUCGGAAUCACUGGGCGUAAAGCGUGCGUAGGCUGUUUCGUAAGGCGUGUGUGAAAGGCGCGGGCUCAACCCGCGGACGGCACAUGAUACUGCGAGACUAGAGUAAGGGAGGGGGAACCGGAAUUCUCGGUGUAGCAGUGAAAUGCGUAGAUAUCGAGAGGAACACUCGUGGCGAAGGCGGGUUCCUGGACAUUAACUGACGCUGAGGCACGAAGGCCAGGGGAGCGAAAGGGAUUAGAUACCCCUGUAGUC